rnacentral:rRNA from 1 species
AACGAACGCUGGCGGCGUGCCUAACACAUGCAAGUCGAACACGAAAGGGGGGCAACCCCCGAGUAGAGUGGCGCACGGGUGAGUAACACGUGGGUAACCUACCCUAGAGAUCGGGACAACCAGGGGAAACUCUGGCUAAUACCGGAUGCGUCCGAGUUGGCCUCGGCCGACUCGGAGAAAGGUGGCCUCUGCUUGCAAGCCAUCGCUCUUGGAUGGGCCCGCGGCCCAUUAGCUAGUUGGUGAGGUAAUGGCUCACCAAGGCAGUGAUGGGUAGCUGGUCUGAGAGGAUGAUCAGCCACACUGGGACUGGAACACGGCCCAGACUCCUACGGGAGGCAGCAGUGGGGAAUUUUGCGCAAUGGGGGAAACCCUGACGCAGCAACGCCGCGUGGGUGAUGAAGGCCCUUGGGUCGUAAAGCCCUGUCGGGUGGGAAGAAUCCCCCGUCGGCGAAUAGUCGGCGGGGAUGACGGUACCACUAAAGGAAGCACCGGCUAACUCUGUGCCAGCAGCCGCGGUAACAC